CUCUCCAGUGACGCUCGCCUAGCUUUGGUCAACUCUGUCCUCGCAGCUAUCCCCGUGUUCCUGAUCUCCCUCUUCAAGCUGGAUGUUUGGGCCAUCAAGCAGAUUGAUAAGUUACGACGGAACUUCCUCUGGCGCUCCAAACCUGAUGCCGCGGGCGGCAUUGCUCUUGUGAACUGGAAAACGGUUUGCCGUCCGAAGAAGCUCGGUGGCCUGGGCGUUUUGGAUCUUCGAAUUUUUGGCAGAGCCCUUCACACUAAGUGGGAAUGGCUCGACUGGACCGACAAGGAGAGACCUUGGGCUGGCUCUCCCAUCCCAUGUGACAAGGAUGAUUUGGCUCUGUUCUCGGCAUCCACCCUGGUGUCCCUCGGCAACGGGACGCGCACAAGUUUCUGGAAUGACAGAUGUCUGGAUGGCCAGGCCCCUUGUUGCUCUUUCCCUAUACAAGCUAUCUCGAAGGAAGAAUAUCACCGUGGCCGUUGCUUUGGCCAACAACUGCUGGAUGCUUGGAUUGCAAAGAAUCUCCACCAUCUCAGAGCUGCGACAACUAACUUCUUUCUGGCUGCGGCUGAGCAACGUUGCCCUGCAACCUCAAGUUGA
rnacentral:rRNA from 1 species